rnacentral:rRNA from 1 species
CAUGCAGUCGAACGGCAGCACGGAGCUUGCUCUGGUGGCGAGUGGCGAACGGGUGAGUAAUAUAUCGGAACGUACCCUGGAGUGGGGGAUAACGUAGCGAAAGUUACGCUAAUACCGCAUACGAUCUACGGAUGAAAGUGGGGGAUCGCAAGACCUCAUGCUCGUGGAGCGGCCGAUAUCUGAUUAGCUAGUUGGUAGGGUAAAAGCCUACCAAGGCAUCGAUCAGUAGCUGGUCUGAGAGGACGACCAGCCACACUGGAACUGAGACACGGUCCAGACUCCUACGGGAGGCAGCAGUGGGGAAUUUUGGACAAUGGGCGAAAGCCUGAUCCAGCAAUGCCGCGUGAGUGAAGAAGGCCUUCGGGUUGUAAAGCUCUUUUGUCAGGGAAGAAACGGUGAGGGCUAAUAUCCCUUGCUAAUGACGGUACCUGAAGAAUAAGCACCGGCUAACUACGUGCCAGCAGCCGCGGUAAUACGUAGGGUGCAAGCGUUAAUCGGAAUUACUGGGCGUAAAGCGUGCGCAGGCGGUUUUGUAAGUCUGAUGUGAAAUCCCCGGGCUCAACCUGGGAAUUGCAUUGGAGACUGCAAGGCUAGAAUCUGGCAGAGGGGGGUAGAAUUCCACGUGUAGCAGUGAAAUGCGUAGAUAUGUGGAGGAACACCGAUGGCGAGGGCAGCCCCCUGGGGUCAAGAUUGACGCUCAUGCACGAAAAGCGUGGGGAGCAAACAGGAUUAGAUACCCCUGGGUAGUCCACGCCCUAAACGAUGUCUACUAGUUGUCGGGUCUUAAUUGACUUGGUAACGCAGCUAACGCGUGAAGUAGACCGCCUGGGGAGUACAGUCGCAAGAUUAAAACUCAAAGGAAUUGACGGGGACCCGCACAAGCGGUGGAUGAUGUGGAUUAAUUCGAUGCACGCGAAAACCUUACCUACCCUUGACAUGGCUGG